AAAAAGUCUUAUCCUAAGAUGAUUCGAGGCAUCGAACCACCUAAUCCGUCACGUGACUACCAGUACAACCACCAACACCACCACCACCUGAAGGGGCCAUGCAGCCGAAUAACAGGAAAACUCAAGGACACAGUUCAUGACUCCUUAUUUGCGUGAAUCGGCUCUCGAAAUAAACUUGCAGUGUUCCACAAAUCAAGACGAGAGGUGUCACGAUAAUGUGACCGCUAACCACUAACACCAAGCGAGGAGCCUUACCUCAGACUACGCAGAUAUAUCCCAUGCAACUACCACCACAACCAUUACCUCUUUACUCGCCAUGUGUUCCUGUCCAGGAUCCAUUGUCCGCCAUCCACCCCCACGUCUCUCCUGGAACAUUGGUGACGGGAAAGUGGUUUGUGAAAUAAAACAUAAACCAAUGAACCUGUAGUCUGAUAUUCGGUUUACAUGAUA